CCUACGUGAGGCAGCAGUGGGGAAUAUUUGGCAAUGGGCGCAAGCCUGACCCAGCAACGCCGCGUGAAGGAAGAAGGCUUUCGGGUUGUAAACUUCUUUUGUCAGGGAAGAGUAGAAGACGGUACCUGACGAAUAAGCCACGGCUAACUACGUGCCAGCCGCCGCGGUAAUACGUAGGUGGCAAGCGUUGUCCGGAUUUACUGGGUGUAAAGGGCGUUUAGGCGGGUUGACAAGUCAGAGGUGAAAUCCUGGGGCUUAACCGCAGAACUGCAUUUGAAACUGUUGAUCUUGAGUACUGGAGAGGCAGACGGAAUUCCUAGUGUAGCGGUGAAAUGCGUAGAGAUUAGGAGGAACACCAGUGGCGAAGGCGGUCUGCUGGACAGCAACUGACGGUGAGGCGCGAAAGCGUGGGGAGCAAACAGGAUUAGAUACCCUAGUAGUC
rnacentral:rRNA from 1 species